GAAAUAUGAUAAAGUGAUAUGGGAAUUUCCUCCAACAGGAUGGAUCAAAGUGAAUACUGAUGGAGCAUGCAGAGGGAACCCAGGGAGGAGUUCAAUUGGUUUUUUUUAAGAAAUGAUAUAGGUGAUUUGAUAUAUGCAGAAGGAAGAGAAAUUAAAGAGGGUUCUAACAAUGAAGCUGAGGCGACAACAAUAGUAGAGGCAAUAACAAUGUGCAAAACAAUGAACCUUCACAAUGUUUGGCUUCAUGCAGAUUCAAUGAUGCUUCAAAAAAUCAUAGAUGGACAAUGGAAACCACUGUGGAAUAUUGUGGAUGCAAUGGAGGAAAUCAACAUACUCAAAGUGGGGUGUAAUUUCAAGAUAUCUCACAUUUUCAGAGAGGGAAACAAACUAGCAGACCACCUUGCAAAUUAUGCACUUGACACUGGAAACAUAGAGAGUUAUGAUUUCUGGGAACUUGAUGAGUCGACCAGAAGGUUGGUAAAUGCGGAUAAGCUACAAUGUCCAAACCUGAGAAUAAGAGUUGCAAGAAAUUAGAGAAGGAAAGGGAAGAAACAAAUGCAAUCAACAUUAAUAAAAAAUGCAGUCACCAUGAUCGACUAGAGAACAACAUGGAGAUAAUAUUUUUCAUUAAAAUGUGUUUCUUUUUGCAGGUACUAAAUUUAUACUGAAGUUCUUUCCUGUCAAGAACACUAUAAUGGUAGUAUUAAUGCGAUGCAUUCAUUCCAAUGGAAGUAACUUACAGAGGGACAGUGGUACAAACCAUGGAAGC
rnacentral:lncRNA from 1 species